UACGUAGGGUGCGAGCGUUGUCCGGAAUUAUUGGGCGUAAAGAGCUCGUAGGCGGUCUGUCGCGUCGACCGUGAAAACCCGCGGCUUAACUGCGGGCUUGCGGUUGAUACGGGCGGGCUAGAGUUCGGUAGGGGAGACUGGAAUUCCUGGUGUAGCGGUGAAAUGCGCAGAUAUCAGGAGGAACACCGGUGGCGAAGGCGGGUCUCUGGGCCGAUACUGACGCUGAGGAGCGAAAGCGUGGAGAGCGAACAGG
rnacentral:rRNA from 1 species